UUGUGCUCGCUUCACAGAUACUAAAAUUGGAAUAACACAGAGAAGAUUAGCAUGGCCCCUGCACAAGGAUGACCUGUAAAUUCGUGAAGCAUUCCAUACAAAA
ensembl:snRNA U6 U6 spliceosomal RNA